rnacentral:tRNA from 1 species
GGGGAUUUAGCUCAGUGGUAGAGCACUUGCUUAGCAAGUGCAAGGCCCUGGGUUCGGUCCCCAGCUCCG